rnacentral:rRNA from 1 species
ACGCUCGACACCUACUGGAGGCAGCAGUGGGGAAUAUUGGGCAAUGGGCGCAAGCCUGACCCAGCAACGCCGCGUGAAGGAAGAAGGCUUUCGGGUUGUAAACUUCUUUUGUCAGGGACGAAGACGUGACGGUACCUGACGAAUAAGCUCCGGCUAACUACGUGCCAGUAGCCGCGGUAAUCUGAGCGGGCUGGCAAGGC